rnacentral:rRNA from 1 species
AUUGAACGCUGGCGGCAGGCCUAACACAUGCACGUCGAACGAGUGGCGGACGGGUGAGUAAUGUCUGGGAAACUGCCUGAUGGAGGGGGAUAACUACUGGAAACGGUAGCUAAUACCGCAUACAAUCGGAUGUGCCCAGAUGGGAUUAGCGAGGAGGUGGGGGAACGGAGUACCUAGGCGACGAUCCCUAGCUGGUCUGAGAGGAUGACCAGACACCCUGGAACUGAGUCACGGUCCAGACUCCUACGGUGGGCAGCAGUGGGGAAUAUUGCACAAUGGGCGCAAGCCUGAUUCAGCCAUGCCGCUUGUAUGAAGAAGGCCUUCGGGUUGUAAAGUACUUUCAGCGGGGAGGCGUUACCCGCAGAAGAAGCACCGGCUAACUCCGUGCCAGCAGCCGCGGUAAUAC